rnacentral:lncRNA from 1 species
CUGCAGAUGUUUAUAAUCCCUUUCAUUUACAGAAGAACAGAGGAUGCUAAAGAGUGGCAAAAAAUGCACUGAAUUCUCUUUUUUCUGGAGUAUGAUGGUGAGGGAAAUCUUAUGUCUCUUUUUGUCACUUGGGAUGGUAUGAAGGCUACACAAAUGGAAAUACUGAAUGACCAAUGUGGAAAUGAACCCAGGAGGGAGAAUCUGUGAUGAGGUCAUCCCUGUGGUCUGCAUUAAUGACAUUAUCUCCCUGGAGAUCAUUAUCUGGUGAUUGCAUCCCGUCAUGGAUUGUUCUCAGUGACCUGAGUGCUACUGAUGAUCUAACUGGCAUAAACUAUAAUUGA